rnacentral:tRNA from 1 species
GGAGAGGUGGCUGAGUCCGGUUUAAAGCGUCCGAUUCGAAAUCGGAUGCCUCGCUUAACAGUGGGGCCCUGGGUUCAAAUCCCAGCCUCUCCGCCA